rnacentral:rRNA from 1 species
GUUUAUCAAAAACAUAGUUUAAGGAAAUAAUCUUAAAUGUAUUCUGCCCAGUGAUUAUUAUUAAAUGGCCGCAGUACCUUGACUGUGCUAAGGUAGCAUAAUCAAUUGGCUUCUAAUUAAAGUCUGGAAUGAAAGGAAAAAUGAAGUAAUUCUGUCUUAAAGAAUUUUUUUUGAAUUUAUUUAAAUGAUGAAAAUAUCAUUUUUUUUAGAAAAAAGACGAGAAGACCCUUAGAGUUUUCAAUUUUUUUUUGUUGGGGCGACAAGUAAACAAUUAAACUUUACAAUAAUUAUAAAUCGAUUUUUUAUAAGAAUAAUUAAACUACCUUAGGGAUACCAGCAUUAUAUAUUUUUUUAUGAUUGUGACCUCGAUGUUGGACUAGGAACUUUAUGGCUAGCCGUCAAAAAAGAUGG